UAGGGAAUCUUCGGCAAUGGGGGCAACCCUGACCGAGCAACGCCGCGUGAGUGAAGAAGGUUUUCGGAUCGUAAAGCUCUGUUGUAAGAGAAGAACGUGUGUGAGAGUGGAAAGUUCACACAGUGACGGUAACUUACCAGAAAGGGACGGCUAACUACGUGCCAGCAGCCGCGGUAAUACGUAGGUCCCGAGCGUCGUCCGGAUUUAUUGGGCGUAAAGCGAGCGCAGGCGGUUUAAUAAGUCUGAAGUUAAAGGCAGUGGCUUAACCAUUGUGCGCUUUGGAAACUGUUAAACUUGAGUGCAGAAGGGGAGAGUGGAAUUCCAUGUGUAGCGGUGAAAUGCGUAGAUAUAUGGAGGAGCACCGGUGGCGAAAGCGGCUCUCUGGUCUGUAACUGACGCUGAGGCUCGAAAGCGUGGGGAGCAAACAGG
rnacentral:rRNA from 1 species